UACGUAGGGUGCGAGCGUUGUCCGGAAUUAUUGGGCGUAAAGGGCUCGUAGGCGGUUCGUCACGUCGGCUGUGAAAACCUGAGGCUCAACCUCAGGCCUGCAGUCGAUACGGGCGGACUUGAGUACUGCAGGGGAGACUGGAAUUCCUGGUGUAGCGGUGAAAUGCGCAGAUAUCAGGAGGAACACCGGUGGCGAAGGCGGGUCUCUGGGCAGUAACUGACGCUGAGGAGCGAAAGCGUGGGGGAGCGAACAGG
rnacentral:rRNA from 1 species